rnacentral:rRNA from 1 species
CACGGAGUUAGCCGGUGCUUAUUCGUAUAGUACCUUCAGCUUUCCACACGUGGAAAGGUUUAUCCCUAUACAAAAGAAGUUUACAACCCAUAGGGCCGUCGUCCUUCACGCGGGAUGGCUGGAUCAGGCUCUCACCCAUUGUCCAAUACUCCUCACUGCUGCCUCCCGUAGGAGUCUGGUCCGUGUCUCAGUACCAGUGUGGGGGAUCACCCUCUCAGGCCCCCUAAAGAUCAUUGACUUGGUAGGCCGUUACCCUACCAACUAUCUAAUCUUGCGCGUGCCCAUCUCUAUCCACCGGAGUUUUCAAUAUCAAAUGAUGCCAUCUAAUAUAUUAUGGGGUAUUAAUCUUCCUUUCGAAAGGCUAAUCCCCCUGAUAAAGGCAGGUUGCACACGUGUUCCGCACCCGUACGCCGCUCUCUCUGUUCCGAAGAACAAAUACCGCUCGGCUUGCAUGUGUUAGCCUCCGCUACGCGUUCAUCCUGAGCCAGGAUCAAACUCU